GGCUGCUGCUGUUGGCUCCUCCCUGAUCUCUCUGCCUCUGCGCGUCUCUGGGACGAGAUCUGCGCUGGGAUGACGAUGAAGCUGGUGAAUAUGCUGCUGAUGCAGCUGAUGAUGAAGAUGGGACGCGUCGCGCCUCUGCCGCACCCCUUCUCCAACGUCCCCUUCGGGUUCGAUCCCGACCCCGGCUCCCCUGUCCGACACGCCCUGCUCAUCGUCCCCAUCGGCGAGGGGCUCGGGUCCCCGCGUCCCGCGAGACUCCCCACGCGCCUGGUGCAGGGCCCGCAGGUGCAGGACGCUCGCGACGCCGCCGUCCCCCGCUAGGGCCGAGUCGAAUGCGAAGACGAGGAGAUCCAGCUUGCGAUCAGAGGACAUCUCUGUCGUGCGCGGGCUCCACGUCUCCGUCUCUCACCACGAGACCGAGCCCUCAAGUCUCAGGCGUCAUCGCCGAACUGCAAUCGUGCUCGUCCGGUCGUUGUCGGGUCACCGUCCGUGCUGCGUUGCCAGCGUCGAGUUUCCACAAACCCGUCCACGCAACGCGCUGUGCGACCUGGGCCAUUCCACACACGGCCGAGUCCCCUUUGGGUGGACCACUGCGGCCCUCUUCCAGAACGGUUCCUGUUCCUCGUCUGCGAUGUCUCCGCAGAGGAGAGACUGCAGUGAACUCAUGGAUGGGCCGAAGCCCAUCCUGACUUCUGAAGUCGCAUUCCGACACUCCGUGCUGUACAAGGUGCUCUACUCUCAUCCCCAGUUGAUGGGUCAGUCGAUCAGUCAACUGGGUAUGCGUCUGACACUAAUUCGGUUCUAUGCCUUGGAGACUUAGGAAUUGGACGUAUUCGUCCCGGUGAGCCAGGCUGAGCCGCACGACUCAGCCUGGGUGCUGCUGCCGCUACAAUGGGGGUUUUGUUGUUGUCGUUAUUUGCAAAAUGUUUUCCGCCAAUUAAUGAGUCGUGUUAAUUAUUCACGUGGGAGGAAAACGGAGCACCCCGAGAAAAACCCACGCAAUGCGCGAGGGGGCAACACCCUAUCCCCGUACAGAUGUAAUAAACAAAUGGCGAUUAGUCCACACUUUGUACACUUUUCUGUACCGCCUUCUGCUGGCAGAGCGAGUGUGUGUGAUUUACCAAACUCCACGGUUGUGGGUUACAGCGGCUCCAGCAUGCACCCUGUAUUUAUAUCCACUGUUGGGGACUUCCUGAAUGGCUGUCUACUCUUCAAGCUGUUGUCGCUGUUGCUGUUGGAUUUUCAUUUUAAAAUUGUUUCGCUGUAA